rnacentral:rRNA from 1 species
UACGUAGGUGGCAAGCGUUAUCCGGAAUUACUGGGCGUAAAGGGCGCGUAGGCGGCCUGUUAAGUCAGACGUGAAAUCCCUCGGCUCAACCGGGGAACUGCGUCUGAUACUGGCGGGCUUGAAUUCGGGAGAGGGAUGUGGAAUUCCAGGUGUAGCGGUGAAAUGCGUAGAUAUCUGGAGGAACACCGGUGGCGAAGGCGGCAUCCUGGACCGACAUUGACGCUGAGGCGCGAAAGCCAGGGGAGCAAACGGG